CAGGACGAACGCUGGCGGCGUGCCUAAUACAUGCAAGUCGAACGGUCUUUCUAUGGAAGCUGUUUCCACUGAGAAGAUAGUGGCGAACGGGUGAGUAACACGUGGGUAACCUGCCCAUAAGAGGGGGAUAACAUCCGGAAACGGGUGCUAAUACCGCAUAGUUUUCUUGAUCGCAUGAUCGGGAAAGGAAAGACGGCCUUUGUGCUGUCGCUUAUGGAUGGACCGCGGCGUAUUAGUUAGUUGGUGAGGUAACGGCUCACCAAGACGAUGAUACGUAGCCGACCUGAGAGGGUGAUCGGCCACAUUGGGACUGAGACACGGCCCAAACUCCUACGGGAGGCAGCAGUAGGGAAUCUUCCGCAAUGGACGAAAGUCUGACGGAGCAACGCCGCGUGAGUGAAAGAAGGUUUUCGGAUCGUAAAACUCUGUUGUCAGAGAAGAACAAGUUGGAGAGUAACUGCUCCAGCCUUGACGGUAUCUGACCAGAAAGCCACGGCUAACUACGUGCCAGCCGCCGC
rnacentral:rRNA from 1 species